GAUGAACGCUAGCGGCGGGCCUAAUACAUGCAAGCCCAGGGCUGUUUCGUAUAGCUAUCCAUCAAACCGACUGCCGACCGGGUCGUUACGCGUAUGCAGCCUACCCUAUAACGGAGGGUAGCCCUCGGAAACGAGGAUUAAUACUCCGUAAGGUUGCUUGGAGGCAUCUUUAAGCAGUUAAAUCCGCAGGGCUGUGUAGAAUUGGCGUGCUUCCGGUUAGCUAGUUGGUGAGUUACCGGCGCACCAAGGCGCUGAUCGGUAGGGGUUCCGAGAGGAAGAUCCCACACACGGGCACUGAGAAACGGGCCCGACACCCACGGGAGGCAGCAGUAAGGAAUAUUGGACAAUGGGUGAGAGCCAGAUCCAGCCACGCCGCGUGCAGGAAGAAGGCCCGAUGGGUUGUAAACUGCUUUGGAGAGGGAGAAAUAAGGGGGAGGCGUCGCUCGAUGAUAGUACUUGUCGAAUAAGCACCGGCUAACUUCGUG
rnacentral:rRNA from 1 species